CAUUUUCAGGAAAUAGCUUUGAUUUCGUUUUUUUAAACUAAAACCGUACUUAAACCGACACAGGUAAAUAAAUUUAGUAAAUUAAGAUGUUGAGUUAACUGUUGUUGAAGGAACUCGGCAAAAUGACUCCGUAACUUCGGGAUAAGGAGUGGCUUUUUUUGGGCAACCUUUUUAAGCUCACAGAAAAUCGGGAACAGCGACUGUUUAAUAAAAACACAGGUUUCUGCUAAUUUGUAAAAAGAUGUAUAGAAACUGACGCCUGCCCAGUGCUAAAAAACUAACGAAAAAAGUUUUGGCUUUAAUCCUAACUUUUAGUAAACGGCGGCUGUAACUCUGACGGUCCAAAGGUAGCGAAAUUCCUUGGCAUUUAAUUGGUGUCCUGCAUGAAUGGCGUAACGACUGUUCCACUGUCUCCAACACAGGCUCAGUGAAAUUGAAAUAUCUGUGAAGAUGCAGAUUAUUGAAGGCAAGACGGAAAGACCCCGUGCACCUUAACUAUAAUUAUACAUUGUAAUAGAAAAUUUUAUACACAGGAUAUGUGGGAAGUUUACAAAUUCAAUUUAAAAUGUUUAUUUUGGUAAAUAAUUUAAACAAUCAUGAGAUACCACUUUUAAAAUAUUUUUAUUACUAAAUUUUUUAAAAACAUUGUAUAAUGGGUAGUUUGACUGGGGCGGUCACCUCCUAAAAAGUACCGGAGGUGUGCUAAAAGUAAGUUCAUAUUGAAAUAAAUCAAUAUUAUAGAGCAUAAUAGUAUAUACUUGCUUGACUGUAAAAUUGACAAAUUAAACAGGGACGAAAGUCGGUUAUAGUGAUCCGGUGGUUCUGUGUGGAAACGACCAUCGCUCAUCGAAUAAAAGGUACGCCGGGGAUAACAGGCUUAUC
rnacentral:rRNA from 1 species